rnacentral:rRNA from 1 species
UACGAAGGGGGCUAGCGUUGCUCGGAAUCACUGGGCGUAAAGCGCACGUAGGCGGCUUUCUAAGUCAGGGGUGAAAUCCUGGAGCUCAACUCCAGAACUGCCUUUGAUACUGGAGAGCUUGAGUCCGGAAGAGGUGAGUGGAACUCCGAGUGUAGAGGUGAAAUUCGUAGAUAUUCGGAAGAACACCAGUGGCGAAGGCGGCUCACUGGUCCGGUACUGACGCUGAGGCACGAAGGUCAGGGGAGCAAACGGG